AGCCACCACACAUGGAGGGCGGAGGGACAGCCACCCUGUUGUGUAGCUCGGAGCAGCUGUGUCCUUCAGUGCAGGUCCAGCCAAGAGCCGUGGGCCACAGAUGACGCUGGUGGGGAAGCAGAGGGCAGACUAGGCAGAGGCAAGGCUUUCCUGUGCCCUGAGCUGUCAGAGAUGGGCCAGGGCCUUCAGCUUCCUCGAUAGGGCAGAAGUGACCACGCUGGCUCCAUUCAGCAAAGGACGUGGACGGAGCUGCCGGGCUUGUCUGAGAGGAGGAGAAAUGUGGAAUUGAGUGAGGCUCUCUAAGAAGGUUCUGCUGGAGUUGAGAAAAAUUAGGUUUAGGAUAAUAACCUGUGCAGAGAGAGGGUCUCCUGUCCUGAAGUCACAGCCCGGAUCUCCAGGCUGGCUCUGCUGCCUCUGAAUGAUUUGUGGGUCACACACGCCAACAGCAUCGCCAAGGGCUGACAUCAGCCUGCUUGAGCCACGGAAACUGAAUGGGCAAGGAUGAGUUCCCCAGCACAGAGGGAGGCAUCCUCUGUCAAGACCAUCUGCGCAUGUGCUGUGCAGUCUCCAGUCUGCACUGUGAGCAGUGUGUCUCAACGGCUUUUGAGAACUGCUUCGAGAGGGGACCAGAUGCGCAGAGACAAGCUUCCAGCCUGGCUAGGGACGGACCCUCUGGGGAUGCUCCUCUCUGGCCGGGCAGCAGUAGAAGCACCUGCCUCCAUCCACAUCCAGACGCCAUUCCCUUUUCUUCACCGCUGCUUCCCAUCAGAUGGUCCCCAGGAGUGGCAACCUCCCACUUGGUCUCGCAGGAGUCCCAGUGCUUCUCAGGGUUAACAGGGGAUCGUGCUGAAGACAGACUCUCCAGUGCUGCGGAGUAUUCAGAAGCCUUUACAUUGGCCAGUGUUUGUUCCCAGCCCUGCUGAGCCACCCCGUCUAGUAUCUCUGAAGAGUGGAGGGUGAUGCGGGUAUUUGGGAAGAGAGAGUGUGGGAUGGGAUGGGGACGGAGUUUCACUCUUGUUGCCCAGGCUGGAAUGAAGUGGCGUGAUAUCAGCUCACUGCAACCUCUGCCCACCCGGUUCAAGCAAUUCACCUGCCUCAGCCUCCCGAGUAGCUGGGAUUACAGGUCCACUCCUUCAUCACACCUGGGACUACUCUCAUAUUUGUUCCCUCCUAUCCUGAGUCCUAGUGGGUUUUCAUUUGCACUCCAGGGUUCAGCUGCAGACCCACCAGGUGAAGACCCACCAGGUGUGGUUCCAGGGGAAUUGAUGGCCUGCUGACCUCCACGUUCUCUUUCCCAGCACACCUUGCCCUGCUUCUGGGCCACGUCUCUCCAGUGCACCUGCAGGAGACCUCUGUGGAUGCACCGUGUCUCCUAACACUGUCUCCAGCCCACACUGAGCUUGUCUUGCGUGGAAAUCUUUGUCUCUGCUGUUGCCUUUGCCUGGAGCGUCCUUGCCCCACACCCUCUCACAGCUGCCUCUCUGUCAUCUUUCCAAUGUCUGUCCUCAGAGAGCCCUUCCUGGCCACUCCAUCUAAAGGAGUCCUGGGCCAGGUGUGGUGGCCCACACCUGUAAUCUCAGAACUUUGGGAGACGGAGGUGGGAAGAUCACUUGAGGCCAGGGGUUCAAGACCAACCUGGGCAACAUACUGAAACCCCCAUGCCUAUAACAAUAAAAAAGGAAAAAAAGGGGUGGUGGUGCACACUUAGAAUCUCAGCUAUUCUGGUGGCUAAGGCUUGAGCCUAGGAGUUCGAGGCUGCAGUGAGCCAAGAUCGCACCACUGCGCUCCAGCAUGGGCAACAGAGUGAGACCC